UUAAAUGAUGCGUCGGAAUCACAAACUGUGACUGCAGCUGUUGCUGGGAUCCUGCUUGAAGCCCAUCUUAUUGUCUUUGGAGGGAGCUAAAUCAUAUACAACAUACUGGAUCCUUCAUUAUGAUGUUUGCAGUAUGAAAUGAUGUGUCUGGAUCAGGAACUGUAGGGUCCUGCUCGUGAGCCCAUCUUAUUGUCUUUGGAGGGACCCAGGAAUCUUUGACAUCAUCUCGGAUCCUUUGUUUUCGUCCCAGGCUGACCUUGACCCUGACUGCCUGUUUCACUGGUCCUUGAGUCCACCCCUUUAGUCUUCAGAGAAGCUCAAGAUCAAGGAGAUGAUUUCCUUGGGAUUGCCCACGAUCCAGCUGACACUGGAGUUUCUGCAAGAGACCCAACUAUUGCAGAGGCCUCAAAACCCUUCAGAGGAGGCUUCUGGUUUGGUCUCAGAG